CUCUGAUCCACUCAGGUGUAUAAAUAGGUACUGGUAAAAUUUCGUGUUGGAGGGCAACCCUGCGAUGGACUACUAAGCAUCCCAUCCAGGGGUUUGUAGAAAUAUUCCUAGUCGCUUCAUGCUACAGAAACCGGGAUAAUCGCUGGCCUGAUGGGCCACUUGGCUCAUACGCUGACUUUACUUCCACUUCUGAGUUGCCGCUUGCCUCUUUUUCAGAACGAGCGCUCGUGCAAAACGUUUCACAUAAAAAUGACUUGAUGUUCAUGAGAAUGAACGUACGGGUGACAUACAUUUUCAAAUGAAUAAUUUUGCACAAACACUCAUUCUGUUACAGAGGCAAAAGUCAACUUCAAAUUGGCCUAUUCAUCAACGAGCUGGCUCAGGGAGCCUUUGAUUACUACCGAAACAGGUAGACUGCGAAUUAAAAGAUACGCGUGACAGUUGAUUUUGGCGCUAAACGUCAACGACUUAGGUCACGUGGCUUUGUUUUUCAAACCAAAAACAUGAACUCACGUGACCACAUUCCAGAACUCUACGAUUAUUCGCAAUAGUUGCCCUUUUUGCUUUUCUUCCUUCUCUGGUCAGAAGUAUGUUGCAGCUAAAAGUUUUUUAUAGCAUCCCAGAAGGAGUCGACAGGUGUGAAGUCAUCUUCACCGAAAGUAUAAUACAGAAUUUUGAAGAUCUCAUGCAAGUAAUUAGAGGUAAAAUUGAGAGUUUACAGUUUAUACCUGACAUGGAACUAUGAGUACUGUACACGGAUGAUGAGAACAUGUUGGUAACCAUACGCCCAAACGACUCCUUCCACGAUGCUUGGCGUUGUGCUUCCAAAGUGCAAGGAACGACAUUUUGCCGUUUAAAGAUAAAAAUCAUGUGGCAACCUAAAUCAACACCCAAGUUCAUUUCCGCGAAGCGUCAGCAGAUGAGAGAGGGAAGCGAAACAGACAGAGAUUCAAAGAGAAAACUCAAAUCUCCACCUCGAAAACAACAGCACCGAGUUAGUACAGGCGAUUUGCCCGAAAACAAUGCACUAAAUCGUGGGCCACGAUCAAAUCAUUAUAUGUCCCCCUUAGAUCUCCUCAUAUCAGAUAAACAAGAAG